AGCCAGAAGAACGCAGAGCUGGAAAGAGACAGGGGGGCAUAAAAAAAACCCAACAACAACCCAGAUACACAUCUUCAACGCAGACAGAAGAGACUCCCAGCAUGUUCUGCAACUGCCUGUAGAUAAGAUCUCUGCAAGAGCUGAGUAUGCUGCGGAGAAGACUUCCCUCUGGAGCAAAAUAAUUCUUCUUGCCCCCGGAGCUAGGCUGUACCUAAAUGGCACAACACAGUUUGUUGUGGGCCUGAUGCAAACCUCCCCAUUAACUUCCAGGAGUUUUGGUGCAAUCCCAGGUUUUGAUUCUUGUCCUGAAACCCUGAGGCCUCGUGUCGUGAAAAUCUUUCCACAUCAUUCUCAGUGCGGAAGAAGGUAUGGAAGUUAAAAGGCUGUGACGCAGAAGGGAUGAAGGGGAUAAUGGACCAUCACAAGAUAUAGGGC